rnacentral:rRNA from 1 species
UACAGAGGGUGCGAACGUUGCUCGGAAUUACUGGGCGUAAAGCGCGUGUAGGCGGAUAUAUAAGCCAGACGUGAAAUCCCCGGGCUCAACUCGGGAACUGCGUUUGGAACUGUAUAUCUUGAGUACUGGAGAGGGUCGCGGAAUUCCUGGUGUAGAGGUGAAAUUUGUAGAUAUCAGGAGGAACAUCUGUGGCGAAGGCGGCGACCUGGACAGUAACUGACGCUGAGACGCGAAAGUGUGGGUAGCAAACAGG